rnacentral:rRNA from 1 species
AUUGAACGCUGGCGGCAUGCCUUACACAUGCAAGUCGAACGGCAGCGGACCUUCGGGUGCCGGCGAGUGGCGAACGGGUGAGUAAUGUAUCGGAACGUACCUUUCAGUGGGGGAUAGCGUAGCGAAAGUUACGCUAAUACCGCAUAUUCUGUGAGCAGGAAAGCAGGGGAUCGCAAGACCUUUCGCUGAUUGAGCGGCCGAUAUCAGAUUAGCUAGUUGGUGGGGUAAAGGCUCACCAAGGCGACGAUCUGUAGCGGGUCUGAGAGGAUGAUCCGCCACACUGGAACUGAGACACGGUCCAGACUCCUACGGGAGGCAGCAGUGGGGAAUUUUGGACAAUGGGGGCAACCCUGAUCCAGCCAUGCCGCGUGAGUGAAGAAGGCCUUCGGGUUGUAAAGCUCUUUCGUCCGGGAAGAAAUCGCAUCAGCUAAUACCUGGUGUGGAUGACGGUACCGGAAUAAGAAGCACCGGCUAACUACGUGCCAGCAGCCGCCGCCGUAA